rnacentral:snoRNA from 1 species
CUUUCACGUGGCGGUUGCUGUUGCCGCGUAUUCCUCCUGGGAUGGUGGGGGAGAUCA